GCUUAGAUAACCCUGGUAGUCCAACCCCGUAAACGUUGGGAACUAGUUGUUGGGGUCCUUUACACGGGAUUUCCGUGACGUAGCUAACGCAUUAAGUUUCCCCGCCUGGGGGAGUACGGCCGCAAGGGCUAAAACUCAAAGGAAUUGACGGGGACCCGCACAAGCGGCGGAGCAUGCGGAUUAAUUUCGAUGCAACGCGAAGAACCUUACCAAGGCUUGACAUACACCAGAACGGGCCAGAAAUGGUCAACUCUUGGACACUGGUGAACAGGUGGUGCAUGGUUGUCGUCAGCUCGUGUCGUGAGAUGUUGGGUUAAGUCCCGCAACGAGCGCAACCCUCGUUCUAUGUUGCCAGCACGUAAUGGUGGGAACUCAUGGGAUACUUCCGGGGUCAACUCGGAGGAAGGUGGGGAUGACGUCAAAUCAUCAUGCCCCUUAUGUCUUGGGCUUCACGCAUGCUACAAUGGCCGGUACAAUGGGCUGCGAUACCGCGAGGUGGAGCGAAUCCCAAAAAGCCGGUCCCAGUUCGGAUUGAGGUCUGCAACUCGACCUCAUGAAGUCGGAGUCGCUAGUAAUCGCAGAUCAGCAACGCUGCGGAGAAUACGUUCCCGGGUCUUGUACACACCGCCC
rnacentral:rRNA from 1 species